rnacentral:piRNA from 1 species
UGACCAAGACAACUCUUAUGAAAGAAAGCC